rnacentral:rRNA from 1 species
UAAAGUCGUAACAAGGUUUCCGUAGGUGAACCUGCGGAAGGAUCAUUAA